AUUUACGAAAAAGGGUUUCUGGGUCGUUUUAGUUCUUUCGUUUUCUGCUCUAUGCGCUCUCUCUCUCUCAUGGUUCUGUAGAGUUUGGCCUCCUUUGGUGGUCUUGAUCGUUACCAGAAAGAUAGAGCCUCGCAGCAACGCGCAGGUGUGCUUCCUAGUUUUGUGCUAAGGAUUGAUGAAGUCCAACGUGAUAUUCAUAGAUGACGAAGGAGACCUGGAAAAAGCUCCUAGUCCCACUAAAGUAGGUAACUUCAUUGAUCUCUCUGCCGACACCCUAAACUAUUACGAUAGUGAUAGUGAUGAAGAGGUUAGGGUUCUUAGGUUUAAACCCUCCAAUAUCCAUUUCGGGAAAAGGAAGCGAACUAAAACCUUAAACGAGGGAUCUUGCUCCAAUUCCAAACCCCCAUCUUUUGCAUGUGAAAUUUGUUUAGAGACCAAGUCGGCUCACGAGUCUUUUAGUGUCAAAAACUGCAGCCAUGUUUAUUGUACUGAUUGCAUAGUGAAAUAUGUGGACUCCAAGCUCCAAGGAAAUAUAGCAAUCAUUGAGUGCCCUGCACCCGAUUGUGAAGGGUCCCUGGAUCCCGAACACUGCCAUUUGAUUUUGAAACCUGAGGUGUUUGAAAAAUGGGGAAUGAGGCUUUGCGAGGAAUUGUUUAUUGGGUCUCAGAAACGUUACUGCCCCUUUAAGGACUGCUCCGCAAUGUUGAUUGACGAUGGGCAAGAGGUAGUGAGGGAAUCGGAGUGCCCUAAUUGUAAAAGAUUGUUCUGUGUGCAGUGUAAGGUUCCUUGGCACGCCAAGGUUACUUGUGCCGAGUUCAAGAGGUUGAAGAAGGAUGAUGAUGCUGAAAAGGGGGAUAUCAUGAUGGAGAAACUUGCUUACAAGAAGCACUGGAGAAAGUGCCCAUGGUGUGGGAUCUAUGUGGAAAGAAUAGGUGGCUGCACAUCAAUACCAUGCAGGUGCGGAACUUAUUUUAGCUUCCAUUGUGGACGGUGGGGUUGUACUUCUUGUGGAAAUCACAGAAGGAGAAAUGGUCGAAGUAUGGGCUACUACGUAUUCUUGGAGGAGUAUAGAAGGAUUCACCAGGAUGAACCCUAUACUAUUGCUAACCUUGCUUAUGAGAAAUGGAGAUCCAUGUCUCGUUCUGAAAAGAAACCCUAUGAGAACCCAGAGAUGGAACCGACUGUAAUUCUGAGGAAGCCAAGAUGAGGAGGAAACAACGAGAGUGAGUGAAUGGAUGAUUGAGCAGAAAGUUAGUUGAUGCUUUCAUACAUAUCCUUAUGGUUCAUGGAUAUUAAGGUGUAUAUGAUGGAAAGCAUAAAUGGCGUAUGUGAUCUACAAACAGAUCAAACAGAAAGCAGACAUAGAUCAGAUCCAUAAGAGUUGUUGUACAAACAGGGCGAGCUCGAAUGCAACCUGUCAUUACAACUCAUAGCUAUUUGAACAAGCCACCAAGGGAAGUCGACAUAGUUUUAAUCCUCCAUAUCAACAAUAAACAUGUCAACAAAUACAAAUUUGCUCUUUCUGGACACCAUAGCUACACACUGUUCUUCUAAGACCGAAAGUUAAAUGAUGAUUCUUCUGCGUGUUGUUUUUGUUAUCCACUUCAGUGACGAUUUCCUGGCUUAAGUUUUCUGUGCACUCCGUUUGAGUUACAUUUAGAAUCCACUCUCCUGUUUCAUAUUAGUGCAUGAACCAACAGAAUCAAGCUUUCUACAAAAUUCACCAGACAAUCACUAGGUUCAGUAUACUUCCUUCUGGAAUCCAUUAUGACCAACAUCACGAAUCAAAAUACUGGCAGGCAAGGAAGCAGGAUCUAGCUCAAAGGAUCCUGAGGGAACAUCACAUCCUUCAUCACCAGUCAUCCUGAAAGCGGGUAUUUGAUGAGAAAAUCUAUACAGCUUAUCAUGCGGUACUUGAAACCCAUGCUGCUCAGUUCGCUGAAACAAACUAACAAAUCCUUUUACUUUGCUUUUCAGGUUACUCUAGAGAGGUGCUCAUUCUUACUGUAAACCUGUCUUGUUUAUGAUCUGUACAGUUUUCUCACUAUGCCGUAACACUCUCAGCAAUUUCAAUUGCAAUACCUCGCUUUAUUCCGUGGGAGGAGGGCGGGAUGGAAUUAUAACUACUGUGUUUCUAAAUCAAAUUUUUGCUGUGAACUUUUAUAUCAACUAUACUGAUAAUUAUUAGUACUGCCUUUGUUACUUCCCUCUUUGUGCUGUAGUGUGUUUAAGUCGUUUCAUAAUAUUCCAGGGUAUGCCGGUCUUUGCUAUUGGGGUUGGAUUAAGUACAUUCGAUAAAGCAUCUGUUUACUACUAUGUGCAGUCACACAUUCAACUCAACAAUUAUUGAGAUCGUGUUAUAUUUGUUAGUAUACAUCUUGAAGGUUCUGAAGUUUCUGAAGUCAUUUUCUGAUAUCUUCCUUUGGUUGUAGCCUUCUGCAUCGAAGAAGUAUGGUAGGCCUAUUACCACUUGUGUGAAGGUUUUAGAUAUGACUGGGUUGAGAUUUUCAGCACUAAGCCAAAUUAAGAUUCUAUGUUGCAGAGGUCCUGCUAUCUUUACACUGACAAUUACGAUGCAAUCCACCUUGUCUGACCUUUCAUGGUUACCUGAUUCCUGGAAGACAACUUGUUUGUCUACUGGCAUGAAGCCAUUUAUCAUGUGUGCGGGGCUAUGUGAAGGGUAUAUGAAGCGCAAAAAUAGUCGACGGAGCUAUGUGAAAGAUAAAACAGUCUGAGCUUGUUUAAUUAGCUGGACCUUUCGAUGCUUACUAGUUUCUUUCAUUAGUAUUUUCUAUGCAUAGCUUUUCUUGUAUGAUGUUUUAUUAACUUUCUUUUGAUUGGAUUUAUUUUUUAAAUGAAUU